rnacentral:piRNA from 1 species
UUUUAAUUGUUAGAAAAUGACCUUGUGC